rnacentral:rRNA from 1 species
AUCGAACGCUGGCGGCAUGCCUUACACAUGCAAGUCGAACGGUAACAGGUUAAGCUGACGAGUGGCGAACGGGUGAGUAAUGUAUCGGAACGUGCCCAGUUGUGGGGGAUAACUGCUCGAAAGAGCAGCUAAUACCGCAUACGACCUGAGGGUGAAAGCGGGGGAUCGCAAGACCGCGCGCAAUUGGAGCGGCCGAUAUCAGAUUAGGUAGUUGGUGGGGUAAAGGCUCACCAAGCCGACGAUCGGUAGCUGGUCUGAGAGGACGACCAGCCACACUGGGACUGAGACACGGCCCAGACUCCUACGGGAGGCAGCAGUGGGGAAUUUUGGACAAUGGGCGCAAGCCUGAUCCAGCCAUGCCGCGUGCGGGAAGAAGGCCUUCGGGUUGUAAACCGCUUUUGUCAGGGAAGAAACGCUCUGGGUUAAUACCCUGGGGUAAUGACGGUACCUGAAGAAUAAGCACCGGCUAACUACGUGCCAGCCGCCGCAGUAA